CGCAAAUUGUAAGGUAACACAGGUGCUUCGGAUAAGUAAUUGAGCAGUUCUUUUAAGGCCUUUGAAACAAGACAAAAGUAGAACUAAAGGUAACCCAGUGCUAUGGAUCAGAAAACAGUUCAUAUAAUAUAAUACUCUUAUGUUGAAAAAUAUGAUAAAGUGUAUAAUACAUGGCAAAAUCCGUAUCACAUGCCGUAUCACCCUCGAC
rnacentral:lncRNA from 1 species